rnacentral:lncRNA from 1 species
GCAUUUUGCGAUGAAUUCUGGAUUUAUUAUCUUCCCAGCCUUGACAUCACAGUCAAUCUGAGGUAUGUAUAGCUUAGCCUUUUUGGUCUUCUUUGUGGCUUCCUUAGCUGCAUAUGUACAUGUAAGAAGUACACCAAAGAAGGUUGCAAUGACUGAGGCCUUCAUAGUGACUGAAGCAAAGUCUGGAUCAGUAAGGAGUACUUGUUUGAGGUGUGCAACUUUU